GAAUAUUUCAGUCACGGAAUGCGAAUCUGUGGAAGGUUUAAGUGAAUACUGCGAUCUUGGUUGUUGUUAUAUCAAAACAAUGAACCCUUGUUGUGUGGAAGAAAAGCAACCAGUAAAAACCCCACUGACUGGUUUUGUUAUAGGUGGAAUUGUCGUAAUGUGUAUCAUAUUGUUUCUUAUUGCUUAUGUCGUCUGUUUGGACAGAAAACUUUCAAAGACUCCUAGAAGAUUAACAGAUGGAGGAAACGGUGUUGGCUCACUUUCAGUAGUUUGUGAAAAUGCGUAACAAAAAAACUAACAUCAUGACUUCAUGAUUUUCUUAUUAAAGUCUUUAAGACCGAUCAGAUAAGUAAUACCUGAACAAUGCUUUACUAAUCAAUUUAUGAUUAAAUUAAAUAUGUUUUCAAAUUUCAGUUUGAAAUUUCAUUAUGAAAUGCUGUAAAAAUGCUUUUGCACGAUGCCAUGAUAUAAUACACAAGUUAUUCGUGUCAGUCUAAAUUUACCAGGAUUUACAAUAUGAAGUGCUAUAUACAACUGAUAGUGCAAAAGUAAAUUACUUUGGAAAUUAUAUAAUAUAAUAAUAUAAAGAAUGUAGUUUGAAUCAUAAUGUAUAUCAAUUAGAUUAAACAGGACUUAUACUGUUUUUUUCCUUUAAUUUAAAUUUUAUACGAGUAUGUACUCAUCAACAUGUAUUUCGAUAGAUAUAUGAAUACUAGUGUAUCACAAUUAGCUUCCUA